rnacentral:rRNA from 1 species
GCCCAGACUCCUACGGGAGGCAGCAGUGGGGAAUAUUGCACAAUGGGGGAAACCCUGAUGCAGCGACGCCGCGUGAGUGAAGAAGUAAUUCGUUACGUAAAGCUCUAUCAGCAGGGAAGAGAGUGACGGUACCUGAGUAAGAAGCCCCGGCUAACUACGUGCCAGCAGCCGCGGUAAUACGUAGGGGGCAAGCGUUAUCCGGAUUUACUGGGUGUAAAGGGAGCGUAGACGGCGAAGAAAGUCUGGAGUGAAAGCCCGCGGCUUAACCGCGGAACUGCUUUGGAAACUGUGCAGCUAGAGUGCAGGAGAGGUAAGUGGAAUUCCUAGUGUAGCGGUGAAAUGCGUAGAUAUUAGGAGGAACACCAGUGACGAAGGCGGCUUACUGGACUGUAACUGACGUUGAGGCUCGAAAGCGUGGGGAGCAAACAGGAUUAGAUACCCUUGUA